CUUGUCCUGUAUGAUGAAUCCCAAUGCUGUGCCACUCAUAAGAGCAGCAUGUUCAUGCAUUUGUUGACCUGUGAGUGCUGGACUGACUUAUAGCCUAUCCAUACUCCUGCCUUCAUUAUGUAUCUAACGGAUCCAUACUUUCUUUCAUGAUUGAUUAGAACAUAAAACGGAUCGAUCUUUGUGUAGAUCAUCAUCAUCUCCUGGACUCUAUCUAUGCUUAUUGCACAAGCGGACUUGAACCGAGUCAUCAGGGUCGAUCAUUGCUGUGGAUCAAACUAUCCACAACAACGAGAACUUGAGGUGGCCUAAUACUACUAGUCAUGGCCAUGCAUGGCUUACAUAAAAGCUUUCAUCCUCUCUGAUCUCCAGCCCUCCCCACUUCUCCCUUGUGAUAUAUACUUCCAUGGAGUUUGAGAAGAAGAAGGACGAUGGUGUGAGUCUGGAACUCGGGUUGAAGCCGUCGAUGCCGGCGGAGCCAGCGCGGGUCUUCGCAUGCACCUACUGUCGCCGGAGGUUCGUCAGUUCGCAGGCGUUGGGCGGCCACCAGAACGCACAUAAGCUGGAGAGAAGUCUGGCGAAGCGUGGGAGUUUGGCGGCUUGGCAUCGCCAUGUGCUCGGUAUGAGCAGCAGCUUCCAGUGCCAUGAAGGUCCGAAGAGAAGAGAGAUAGAUGAUGUCGUCGAUGAGAUCGACUUGUCGCUGAAGCUGUGAGAGCAACCACUCGUUCCUUAGACUACUAUCAGAACUUGAUCUCUUGAUAUAACAUUCGGAAGUCAUAAAAUAGUACUGUCAUUAGCUUAAUCAGCUGCUGGUAUUAUAUUUGAUGUGUUGCAAUUUGCAUAUCCGAAAGUAAAUCAUAGUUUCUGUGGUUUUCUUCUCUUAAAUGAUAUUUUAGUGUAA